rnacentral:rRNA from 1 species
GGUUGAUCCUGCCAGUAGUCAUAUGCUUGUCUCAAAGACUAAGCCAUGCAUGUCUAAGUAUAACGGGCUUAUACUAGAAAACUGCGGAUGGCUCAUUAAAUCAGUUAUAGUUUAUUUGAUUCUGCUUCGCUACAUGGAUAGCCGUGGCAAUUCUAGAGCUAAUACAUGCAUAAACUCCCGACUUCUGGAAGGGAGGUAUUUAUUAGAUACAAAACCAACUCGGGAAACCGGUUUUUGGUGAUUCAUAAUAACUUCGCGAAUCGCAUGGUCUUGCACCGGCGAUGGUUCAUUCA